UCCAAUGUCAGUGCCUGACUUCACUAAUGCUCCACUGAAGCUACGCAGGGUUGAGCCUAGCCAGUACCUGGAUGGGAGACCUCCUGGGGAAAACUAAGGUUGCUGCUGGAA
rnacentral:rRNA from 1 species